rnacentral:rRNA from 1 species
CAAUAGCGUAUAUUUAAGUUGUUGCAGUUAAAAAGCUCGUAGUUGGAUUUCGGAUGGGACUUGCCGGUCCGUCGUUUCGAUGUGCACUGGCCAGUCCUAUCUUGUUGUCGGGGACUAGCUCCUGGGCUUCACUGUCCGGGACUAGGAGCUGACGAGGUUACUUUGAGUAAAUUAGAGUGUUCAAAGCAAGCCUACGCUCUGAAUACAUUAGCAUGGAAUAACACGAUAGGACUCUGGCUUAUCUUGUUGGUCUGUGAGACCAGAGUAAUGAUUAAGAGGGACAGUCGGGGGCAUUCGUAUUUCAUUGUCAGAGGUGAAAUUCUUGGAUUUAUGAAAGACGAGCUUCUGCGAAAGCAUUUGUCAAGGAUGUUUUCAUUA